rnacentral:rRNA from 1 species
UACGGGAGGCAGCAGUGAGGAAUAUUGGUCAAUGGGCGGAAGCCUGAACCAGCCAUGCCGCGUGCGGGAAGGAGGCCCUAUGGGCUGUGAACCGCUUUUGCCUGGGGGCAAUAAGGGCGUCGCGCACGUCCGAUGAGAGUACCAGGGGAAUAAGCAUCGGCUAACUCCGUGCCAGCAGCCGCGGUAAUACGGGGGAUGCGAGCGUUAUCCGGAUUCAUUGGGUUUAAAGGGUGCGUAGGCUGUGCGUCAAGUCAGGGGUGAAAUUCCGGGGCUCAACUCCGGGGCUGCCCUUGAUACUGUCGCGCUGGAGUGCGGAUGCCGCCGGAGGAAUGAGUGGUGUAGCGGUGAAAUGCUUAGAUAUCACUCAGAACACCGAUUGCGAAGGCAUCUGGCGAAUCCGUAACUGACGCUGAGGCACGAAAGCGUGGGGAUAGAACAGGAUUAGAUACCCUGGUAUUCCACGCCGUAAACGAUGAUGGCUAACCGCCGGCGACAUACUGUCGGUGGCCAAGCGAAAGCGAUAAGCCAUCCACCUGGGGAGUACGUCGGCAACGAUGCAACUCAAAUGAA